CAUUGCUUUGCCAGCUGAGAUCAGCAUUUGUGCAGAUGAACAGGUCUUGGCGGGAGUAUGUGACGGCAGCAGCUCCAUAUGACCUGGCUGCCAUUGGCUUAGUGGAAAAUGAAAGCACGCCGUGAAUGAGCUGCCGUGGGACGAACCUGUCGCCCUCAGAGCGUCUCACAGGCGCAGGCACGAGCAGGAGUCCUAGACGGCGGCGCAGAGGCUGGAGGCUGGAGAUGGAGACGCUAAAAAGAGUAUUUUCUCGUAGGACUUUAAGGAGGGGGUCGAGCAUUCUGUCCACGUCAGACAACGUGCAGGAUGAACCUAAACCGGAAGAAGCCCUCCCCCUACAACUGAACCACAUGCCCGAGAAAGAGCCAGCGCAGAAGGAGCAGGAGGAGCAGGAGGAGCAGGAGACGGUGCCGUGUAGGAACCUCUCUGAGCUCCUUCAGAUGCGUCCUGGUUCAGACGUCAACACAUCGGUGGAUGGAGUCCCUUGCCUUGAGUGCACUGACUCAAACUCAGAGCAACAAAAUCAAAAUCAAGGCGGCAAUUGCCUCGUUCAGUUAUAUGUAUCCCAGCAGUUCCCAGAACCACCAGAGAACCAGAACCUUCAUCAGCACCUGCAGAACAUCCAGACCACUGUGCUCAACGAGCUCACGGGGCUGAGUCCUGUGUUGGAUGAGCGUCUGAUGGGUCAUCUGAUCAACUGCUACCAUAGACAGACAUUUAACCAAAUGCAUCGUCUGCUCCAGAACAUCAGCUCCACCCAGAACCACUUUGUGCUGAUGAUGUGGGUCCUGAAAACCUACCUGAGUCAGGAGCUGCUCGGACACCCUGACCUUCAAAAAGUAGAUCCCAUCAAAAACAUAGACCUGCUGCUGUUUACAGAGUGGGAAGCGAAGGCCAGAGACAAACUGCUUCAGAGCGUGCAUGAAGAAGUCAGCGACUCCCUGGAGAACAUCCUGCUCAAUGAGAAAACCCAUGAACAAUGCAACAGUGAGGAGGAUUAUGUCAGAGUCUUCGUGGACACAAUUCAGUGCAUCAAAGCUGUGCACAAAGCAGCACAACAAAUCAGCUCAAAGCUGUCUGAUGAUGUUCAGAACGUUUGUUUUCAGCAGCUGCUGGUUUUUGUAAAGAGGUACUCAGACGAGCAGACUGAGGGUCUUGGAAAGAAAGCAGCGAUGCCAGAACCAGAAACAAUUCAAUUCUUAAAGACUCUGAAAACCUGUAAAGAACUCAAACUGCACGUUCAAGUUGAAGCUGCUGGAGCUUCGUAUUCAGGGAAAAUUGUUGAAACACUGGACAAGCUGGAGGUUUUCACUCUGAACCUGCUCCUGGACAUCGUUGAUAAAAUGGCAGAGGCUAACCUCAGCACGUACUUCAAAUCAGACAGCAAGUGUUUCUCCUUGCUUCCUGCAGUACAGAAACGGUUUCCAAAGCAGUGCUAUGGUGCAGAUGAACAGAAGAGGGUUUUGAACAAGGCCUACAAGCUCAUAGUUCAGAUUUAUGUCAAACAUCUGAUCAAGACCAACAAGCGUCAACUGGAGAGUUGUUGGAAUCCUGACGUCAGCAAAACCAUCGGUGAAGAUGCUCAUGGAAUUCACAGCAUCAUGUCAGAGCUGGCCCCCGACGUUCCACAGCAGAACCGACUACUGCUGAAGGUCAAGGAGCUGUUGGACUGCGAGUGCAACGAGGCGCUGAAGCUCACAGCUGCGACCAUCCAGGAAGACUUUGGGUAAAUCAGUACAAAUUAUUAAAGAAUUAGGAUUAAGGAAAAAUGAUUAAAGAGCAGACACGUAGACACAGGAUAAGAGAUAAGCAGCAGCUGAUUCUGUCUGUUGCUGAUAAAUCCAGGAGAAGCCAACUUGUUGAGCCUGCCUCUGGUGGUACACUGGUGUAACUGCACCUGUCUAACUCUCCUUUCGUUCUUGACUGCAGCAAGGACCCAGAGCUCCUGCCUGCCCUGCUCAAGUGGAAGGGCCUUCCUAAAGGGCAGGUGAGGGAGGUGCUGGAGACCAUUCAACACGACUACCACCACCAGUCCUGUUGCUCAUCUGUGAAAUGCUGGUAAAGACAACAGGAGGGGGGUGGUGGUUACUCCUGGUGGACUCCCUACAGACCGGGGUCCUCGGGUUCCCCUCUCCCAGGCUGGGAGUGUUUGCCUCUGGGUCUCCUGGGCUGCUGCAGCUCUGCCCGGGGGUUCUGUGUUCUGUUCCCUCCUGGAACUGAAGGUGUGUGGGCUCCCUGGCUACUGGGUUUCCUCCCUGUGCUCGUUGACUGUGUGUAGCGACUGGGUUCCUCCCAUCAUCACGGCUUGUACAUGUGGCAUUGUUCAUGCACCAACGUCUGUCUCACCUUUUGGGUGAACAAUGUUAAGCUACAGCUUUACUAACCUUGUAGUGGGACGCUCAACACCUCAGCUGAUAAACAGGCUUUGUAAACUUAGCUGUAAGUAUUACUGGUACUUAUCACCAUCAAUAUCAAUAAUGUGUAAUUAUGGUAGUUGUGAUGUUAUGUCACAGCUAUUAUUAAGUAUUAUGCGAUUAUGUAUAAUAAUAUUUAUGCAUAGAUGUGUAUGUACAGUAUAUUAUAUAUGUCUGUAUGCACAAGUGUAUGCACACGCCUUAACACAAGUAUUAAUAGUAAUUUAACAGUUAAAGCACAGUACAGCAGUUAUUUACUUAUGAACGUGUCCGCCUAAGGUAUUUAUUUAUUUAUUUAUUUACUCUAUUUACUGUAUUUCCUAUUUUUUUGCUUCAUUGAUUCGCUUGGUCUCAGUAGGUUUUGCACUCUCUCUACUACUUCCUCUGUAGACUCACAUCCUUCCCAGAUUAGCUGGAAUUACAAUAAAAUGACAGGACCUUGGCUUAAUGACGACUGU
ensembl:lncRNA uncharacterized LOC114849018